AUGGACGGGCACGAUCGACUCGGGGGAUCUGACCUAGAACCUCACCAAAGCCCAGGAGACCCCUCCCUCGGCAGCGCCUCGCCGAGCACCACCGCCAUGGCCGCCUCCUCCUCCCCCCUCGCCGCCGGCGAGAGCGCGCACCGGCGCCAGUGGCGGUACACGUGGGAGACCCUGGCGCACCUCCCCCUCCUGCGUCUCUACCUCUCCCACCCGGCCCUCUCCGCCGCGGCGCCCUCCGGCCUCCGCGCCGACCUCCGCCUCGACGCCGACCUCCUCCUCCUCUCCUUCUCCCUUGCGUCGGACCCCGUCUCGCUCAGGGUCCCCGUGCCGAGGGUGCUCGUGGACCCCUCCGCCCCGCCCGAGUGCCGCGCCGCGGGGGACCACCUCGAGGUCCGCCUCACCCUCGUCCUCCCCGUCGACCACCCCGUCGUCGCCGCCGCCUUCCCCGGCACCGGCCCUCCCGCGCCCCUCUCCCUCCGCGAUGAUUUGAAGAGUCUAUCUUCUGGAGAUGUCCAUUUGUACUGCAAAGCAUGCUCAGCAAGAUUGACAAAACAGCCACUAAGGGACGUUGUGGAAAUGCCAUCUUUAAAUUGGGAGGAUGUGGCUGACAAUUGGUUUGGUGGAUGUUGCACAUCAUUCGGAGGGGCAAGUGAGAAGUUAAUAUCACACUAUAUCAAUGCAUAUGGUCGCCUGCAGAGAACAACUCUACUAGAUGCUACCUCCAUUAUUAUAGAGAAGGAUUAUCUUGAGACUGAUAUAGUGUCGAGAGUAGAUACUUCAGUGCCCAGUGUUGAUUUUGUUGCACUAGAAGAAGCUAUGUUUAAUGUUACUCUAGAAAGCGAUCAUACUGCUGAGAAGAUAAAAUUGAAUAAUUCAGAAGAGGAGGUAUGCCAUGAAAAGAAAAUUGGUUCUAAUCACUUGCGACCUCCAGUUCUUUUGGAAGAGGGUCCUUGUAUUGAUACUGAAAAAAAUGGAGGCACUCCUUGGACUGAUCAGUGUGGUACUAUCCAGCUGAAUAAUGGUGGCGAUGUGAACUCUGAGAAGUCUACAAGUGACUGUUUUAUUGAAAACAUAGAGCAAACUUCUCAAGAGGUUGAUUUGAAUCUGGUAGAUCCAUGCAGUUGCUGCGGUGAUGGUGGAGAUAGUGGAAAAGCUGGAUUGGAGAACCAAAGAGAUUACAAGUUAACAAAAAGUAUCUCUCUUGGAAGUAGCUUUAUUGUUAAAGAACCAAACCUUGUGAAAGAUGUUAACUGGGUUGAACUUCUAUGUUCUCAUUGCUCGUCAUCUCUUGGGUCAUACCCAUCGCAAUAUUCAGAUGCUCCAUCGGAUGGACGGGUACGGCUGUUCAAGUGUUACACAUCCUCAGACCUUCCUGUUGGGGGUCCUCAUGAUGUGUUCAGGGGACACACAUUGGAAAAACUAUUUGUUAAUUUGUUGCUUGAAAUUGCUGAAGAUGAAAUAUCUUUUCGUACAGUAGUGAGAGAUUUGAAAACCAAAAGGCCCAUGCUGCAAAUAGUCCUCCUUAGUUCAAAAGCAUGGAUGUUUUCUGGUUACUGCUAUGAAAAUGAAAUGGAUGGUUCACAUGUGACAGCACAUCUGCAGCCUACUGUUAAGCUCCUGUAUUCUAACUGCAGUAGUGCCUCAGAGACAGACUUAAGGACAGUAGAGGAGUGGUCAUCCAAAUAUCGGGCUGAACAGUUAUACAUGAUGGCGCGGCAGAUAAAUGAACUUACUGAAUGCCUUAGCUCAGCUAAGGACGAGUUCCCUCUUUCUUGCUCGUCUCUUGAAGGAAUGUGUCUUUCGUCUCUGGAGCGUUGA
rnacentral:rRNA from 1 species